AUCAGGUCCAGGAGUCUCUUAACAGGAUCAGAUGGGAGGUCAGGUCCAGGAGUCUCUUAACAGGAUCAGAUGGGAGGUCAGGUCCAGGAGUCUCUUAACAGGAUCAGAUGGGAGGUCAGGUCCAGGAGUCUCUAACAGGAUCAGAUGGGAGGUCAGGUCCAGGAGUCUCUAAUGGGAUCAAAUGAGAGGUCCCAGAGAGAUCAGGUCUAUGAGUCUCUAAAAUGAUCAGAUGGGAGGUCCCAGAGAGAUCAGGUCUAGGAGUCUCUAAAAGGAUCAGAUGGGAGAUCAGGUCCAUGAGUCUCUAACAGGAUCAGACUGGAGAUCAGGUCCAGGAGUCUCUUAACAGGAUCAGAUGGGAGGUCCCAGAGAGAUCAGGUCUAGGAGUCUUUAACAGGAUCAGACUGGAGAUCAGGUCCAGGAGUCUCUUAACAGGAUCAGAUGGGAGGUCCCAGAGAGAUCAGGUCUAGGAGUCUUUAACAGGAUCAGACUGGAGAUCAGGUCCAGGAGUCUCUUAACAGGAUCAGAUGGGAGGUCCCAGAGAGAUCAGAUCCAGGAGUCUCUAAUGGGAUCAGAUGGGAGAUCAGGUCCAGGAGUCUCUAAUGGGAUCAGAUGGGAGAUCAGGUCCAGGAGUCUCUAAUGGGAUCAGAUGGGAGAUCAGGCCCAGGAGUCUCUAAUGGGAUCAGAUGGGA